rnacentral:snRNA from 1 species
CGGGAUGAACCGGAAGCCGGGU